rnacentral:lncRNA from 10 species
CUCAUCUCCCAGUGGUGCCCUCCUAGAAUCCUCCAUGGCAGUUGCCAUGGACUCCCAGGUUGAAGGUCACAUAACCUUAGCAUGCCCAGAUAAACCAAGUAUGCAACCACACGGGGAACCUAAGUGCUCAGACCAAGGAGCAGGAACUGAAUUAAGACACGGACACCACAUGGCAGAAUCCAAGAUCCAAUCAGAUCGAGCUCUGGAAUCACCCCAUGGUGGAAGCCAGUCAGAUCAUUCCUCUUGGCAUCACCUCAUUGCAAGAUCCAAUCAGAUCACGUCUCAUUACCCUAUCCUUAUAAAACCGGACAGACCUCAGCUCAGGAAGGCACUGCUUUGGGAGCUAUCACCCCUAUUUUCCUUAAUUACUUCAAGUAAUAAAAUC